rnacentral:rRNA from 1 species
UACGUAGGGACCAAGCGUUGUUCGGAUUUACUGGGCGUAAAGGGCGCGCAGGCGGCAAUUCAAGUCAGCUGUGAAAUCUCCGGGCUUAACUCGGAACGGUCAGCUGAUACUGUUUUGCUAGAGUGCAGAAGGGGCAAUCGGAAUUCUCGGUGUAGCGGUGAAAUGCGUAGAUAUCGAGAGGAACACCUGAGGUGAAGACGGGUUGCUGGGCUGACACUGACGCUGAUGCGCGAAAGCCAGGGUAGCAAACGGG